UUGAAUAUCUCAUGUAUCUCUAAAAACACUUAUAAACACUUUAUAUGGUUAAAUGGGAAUGUUGUCAUGAUCCUUUGAGUUGAACUAUUUUGCCUUACAAUAAGUUAUCAACACUUUGUUUAAAGUCAUAAGCAUUAUACUCGACGUUUAUUACUCGAGGUGUAACAAAAUCGAAUAGUUCAAGAUCAUUCGGUUGUAAGUAACGACUGGAUUAACGGAACUCGUGGAAAGUUAUAAGGUCAUCUGUUAUACCCACAACUAACCACUAUAGUGGUGGGUGCCACAUCAUCACCACUAGCUACCACUAAAAGCGGCGAAGACUUGCUCGGGACAAAAGGAGAGCAUACGAGGAGAUGGAAGCAGGAAACGAGAGCUAAAACUAAAGAAGAAAAUAAGAUGACUGAAGACCACGUCGUGGUGAUAUAACCACGACAUGGUGAUUGGAAUAUUAGCACCCAUAUGCUGACUUGGCAGACACAUAAUUUACUUGAAGACCAUGUUGUGGUGGCGAUCAACCGCGACGUUGUGGCCAGAUUUCCACAAUUAUAAAAUGCCAGGCAUUAGGUCGAAAUCAAGGGAUGCAUUCGGUUUUCAGAGGUUAAUUGUGAUUAAUAACCCUUAGAAACCUAGAAGAAAGUCGAAAUUCAAGUGAAGCUCAAGAUUGAAGAAGAUUUAGAAGGAAUUCAACAUUGAUCUAGUUGGUUUGCUUAUUAAACUUAUGUGUAGCUUAUUUUACUUAUAUUUAAUAUGUUUUUCUGCUACAAUGAGAGGUUAAA